AGUGAACGCUGGCGGUAGGCCUAACACAUGCAAGUCGAACGGCAGCACAGUAAGAUCUUGCCCCUACGGUUGGCGGGGGGCGGACGGGUGAGGAAUACAUCGCAUUCUACUUUUUCUGGGGGGAUAUCGGAGGAAAACUGAUACUAAUACCUCAUACUAUCUACGGCAGAAAGCAGGAGAGCUUCAGACUCUUCCUGUCUGAUUUAGCCGAUGUCGGGUUAGCUAGUUGGCGUGGUAAAGGCCCACCAAGGCGACGAUACGUAGCUGGUCUGAGAGGAUGAUCAGCCACACUGGAACUGAGACACGGUCCAGACUCCUACGGGAGGCAGCAGUAGGGAAUAUUGGACAAUGGGCGAAAGCCUGAUCCAGCAAUACCGCGUGAGUGAAGAAGGCCUUCGGGUUGUAAAGCCCUUUUGUUGGGAAAGAAAAGCAGCAGGUUAAUACCCCGAUGUUCUGACGGUACCCAAAGAGUAAGCACCGGCUAACUUCGUG
rnacentral:rRNA from 1 species